GACGAACGCUGGCUGCGUGCCUAAUACAUGCAAGUAGGACGCAGUUGCGAACGGGUGAGUAACGCGUAGGUAACUGCCUAUUAGAGGGGGAUAACUAUUGGAAACGAUAGCUAAUACCGCAUACUAGUAGAUGUACCUGCGUUGUAUUAGCUAGUAGGUAGGGUAAUGGCCUACCUAGGCAACGAUACAUAGCCGACCUGGGAGGGUGUUCGGGCACGCUGGGACCGGGACACCGGCCAGACUCCUACGGGAGGAAGCAGUAGGGAAGCUUCGGUAAUUGGGGGACCCCUGACUGCGCAACGCAUCGUGGUAGAAGACGGUCUUCGGAUCGUAAAGGUCGGUUUAGAAGGAAGCGGUACUCAGGGAGAAAGGGACGGCUAACUACGCGCCAGCCGCCGCGGUAAUAC
rnacentral:rRNA from 1 species